CCUACGGGAGGCUGCAGUGGGGAAUAUUGGACAAUGGGGGCAACCCUGAUCCAGCCAUGCCGCGUGUGUGAAGAAGGCCCUCGGGUUGUAAAGCACUUUCAGUGAGGAAGAACGCCUGGUGGUUAAUACCCAUCAGGAAAGACAUCACUCACAGAAGAAGCACCGGCUAACUCCGUGCCAGCAGCCGCGGUAAUACGGAGGGUGCGAGCGUUAAUCGGAAUUACUGGGCGUAAAGCGCGCGUAGGUGGCUUGAUAAGCCGGUUGUGAAAGCCCCGGGCUCAACCUGGGAACGGCAUCCGGAACUGUCAAGCUAGAGUGCAGGAGAGGAAGGUAGAAUUCCCGGUGUAGCGGUGAAAUGCGUAGAGAUCGGGAGGAAUACCAGUGGCGAAGGCGGCCUUCUGGACUGACACUGACACUGAGGUGCGAAAGCGUGGGUAGCAAACGGGAUUAGAUACCCCGGUAGUC
rnacentral:rRNA from 1 species